CUUAACUUUGCUGACUGCCAGGUGCAAAAGGCAAAGCUUAUAACAGUAACUGACAGGGAGCUACGGUGAAAGCACCCAGUUACAGAAUAAUGAAGUUGACAUGGAGAGGAAAUCGAAGAAACAGACCUACUUGUCUAAAGCUCAAAAUAAUUUAAAAUUAGAAAGUUUGGGGGCACUGCUUAGAUCUGUACAUCAAGAGAUCUAAAUCUGAAUGGAAAUUCUGAGGCAAAAAUAUCUGAUCUGGAAUCGGCAUGUGUGGAGGCAAGGUGGGGUUUUACAGGGUUUAGAAGAAGGUUCCUGGAUCCCUAGGGGCCUACUUUGGCUUUUUGAGAUUAGCACCUGAGGCAGUGAAUACAGAGGUGGGCACCUACCAGAGUUGCAGACCUCACACCUCCACAGUCAACCUACAGGGACCCUGCUAAACCCCAUAAAG